rnacentral:rRNA from 1 species
GAUGAACGCUAGCGGCAGGCCUAACGCAUGCAAGUCGAGGGGGAAGUUACUUUCGGGUGACUGAGACCGGCGUACGGGUGCGUAACGCGUAUACAAUCUGCCUUUCACUGGGGGGUAGCCCGAAGAAAUUUGGAUUAAUACCCCAUAGUAUAUAGGGACGGCAUCGUUUUUAUAUUAAAGCUUAGGUGGUGAAAGAUGAGUAUGCGUUCUAUUAGCUAGUUGGAGAGGUAACGGCUCCCCAAGGCGAUGAUAGAUAGGGGUUCUGAGAGGGACGUCCCCCACACUGGUACUGAGAUACGGACCAGACUCCUACGGGAGGCAGCAGUGAGGAAUAUUGGACAAUGGUCGGAAGACUGAUCCAGCCAUGCCGCGUGCAGGAUGAAGGUCUUAUGGAUUGUAAACUGCUUUUGUAAGGGAAGAAUAAGGGCUACGCGUAGUUUGAUGACGGUACCUUACGAAUAAGCAUCGGCUAACUCCGUG